rnacentral:rRNA from 1 species
GGGGAAUAUUGCGCAAUGGGGGAAACCCUGACGCAGCAACGCCGCGUGGAGGAAGAAGGUCUUCGGAUUGUAAACUCCUGUCUUCUGGGACGAAAAAUGACGGUACCAGAGGAGGAAGCCACGGCUAACUACGUGCCAGCAGCCGCGGUAAUACGUAGGUGGCAAGCGUUGUCCGGAAUUAUUGGGCGUAAAGGGCGCGUAGGCGGCAGCCUAAGUCAGAUGUGAAACCCCGGGGCUUAACUCCGGACGUGCAUUUGAAACUGGGUAGCUAGAGUGCAGGAGAGGAAAGCGGAAUUCCUAGUGUAGCGGUGAAAUGCGUAGAUAUUAGGAGGAACACCAGUGGCGAAGGCGGCUUUCUGGACUGUAACUGACGCUGAGGCGCGAAAGCGUGGGGAGCAAAC